rnacentral:rRNA from 2 species
CACGCAGGCGGUCGGAUAAGUCAGAUGUGAAAGCCCCGGGCUCAACCUGGGAACUGCAUUUGAAACUGUCCGACUAGAGUCUUGUAGAGGGGGGUAGAAUUCCAGGUGUAGCGGUGAAAUGCGUAGAGAUCUGGAGGAAUACCGGUGGCGAAGGCGGCCCCCUGGACAAAGACUGACGCUCAGGUGCGAAAGCGUGGGGAGCAAACAG